rnacentral:lncRNA from 1 species
GUCGUUUCUUCGGGGAAGCUUCCUCGCGCCAGGUCAGGUCGUUUCUUCGCGGAAGCUUCCUCGAGCCCACGCCGCGGCGCCUCUCCCCUUUACCUCGCUUUCUUCUUCUCUUCUUCACAUUGCGACCACUCCGAGCACACGUUGCGGUUGCCUAGCUACGAGAAGAACAUAAUUCACUCCGAGCAAGAAGAUACUCUAGUCCAGGUUGCCCACUGGCCGAACGAUCGAUCGUCUCCGGCCACGGUUUUUUUUGUCUAG